GCGGCGGACGGGUGAAGUAACACGUGGGCAACCUGCCUGUAAGACUGGGUAACUCCGGGAAACCGGGGCUAAUACCGGUAAUUCUUUCCUCACAUGAGGGAAAAGCUGAAAGAUGGUUUCGGCUAUCACUUACAGAUGGGCCCGCGGCGCAUUAGCUAGUUGGUGAGGUAACGGCUCACCAAGGCGACGAUGCGUAGCCGACCUGAGAGGGUGAUCGGCCACACUGGGACUGAGACACGGCCCAGACUCCUACGGGAGGCAGCAGUAGGGAAUCUUCCGCAAUGGACGAAAGUCUGACGGAGCAACGCCGCGUGAGUGAUGAAGGUUUUCGGAUCGUAAAACUCUGUUGUUAGGGAAGAACAAGUACCGGAGUAACUGCCGGUACCUUGACGGUACCUAACCAGAAAGCCACGGCUAACUACGUGCCAGCAGCC
rnacentral:rRNA from 2 species